UUACGUUCUGGAGUGCGUUUUCUAUCAAUUCUAUGAGAAUUUUAUUCCAUGUGGAAAUGUGUACAAUGUCACACUGUAUCCCCAGCACAAUAUCCAUAUGUUUCAAGCUGGUACCUUGAGAAUCAAGUGUGAGAAAUUUCAGGACCCAACGAAAAAAAUAUUUGAAAAUAGUGUGUUCUGCUGCCUCCGUAAGGAUUGCAUAAUGUCUCCCGUGAAUCGAAUGGCAAAUCUUGUUAUGCAGUGUGUGCGCCCCAUGGAGUGUAACAUAUUAGACAACAACAGAUUAAUGAAGCCUACAACCUGCACCAUGCACGACUGCACCUUCCACUGGAAAACAUUUAGUUAAUUCUCCUUCCAUCCUCUUCCUGCUCCGUAGGAAAUGAUAUUCCCAUGGCCUGAGAAGGUCACAAAGUAGAACCUGACAAUGACAUUUCCUACGUGUGGACCUAUACUAGCUUAGUUACCAUGAUGAGUAGUGUACUAGUUUAUUACUACAGAGAAAAGGAAAUCAUAUUUUGUAUUAAUUAUUUGUUUAAAAUGGACUCUAUGGGGAUGGCCUUCCCGUAUUUCAGAGCUCUUUGGAUAAUGGCUUUCCAGAUAAGGCAUCCCAUACCUGUACCUCAUUUAUCUUGGGUAACAUCAAUAGUGAUGAGUGAA